AACGAACGCUGGCGGCAUGCCUAACACAUGCAAGUCGAACGAGACCUUCGGGUCUAGUGGCGCACGGGUGCGUAACGCGUGGGAACCUGCCCCUAGGUUCGGAAUAACUCCCCGAAAGGGGUGCUAAUACCGGAUAAUGUCUUCGGACCAAAGAUUUAUCGCCUUUGGAUGGGCCCGCGUUGGAUUAGCUAGUUGGUAGGGUAAAAGCCUACCAAGGCGACGAUCCAUAGCUGGUCUGAGAGGAUGAUCAGCCACACUGGGACUGAGACACGGCCCAGACUCCUACGGGAGGCAGCAGUGGGGAAUAUUGGACAAUGGGGGAAAGCCUGAUCCAGCAAUGCCGCGUGAGUGAUGAAGGCCUUAGGGUUGUAAAGCUCUUUUACCCGGGAUGAUAAUGACAGUACCGGGAGAAUAAGCUCCGGCUAACUCCGUG
rnacentral:rRNA from 1 species